GCAUUAUACCUAAUACAAGUUUCUGUGUAUUCAUUUGGGCCCUGACUCGGGUGGGCGACUGGCGUAAAGCUCACACGUGGCGGUGGGGCUCAGGCAGCUUAUGGUAGAAAGAUUUAUCGUAACACUGAGGUCAGCUUCCAGCACCCAUCUUAGGCAGCUCACAACCACUAUAACUCCAGCUCCAGGAUCUCUGAUGUCUCUGGCCUCAGUAAGUACCUGCAUUCACAUGAACAUGCCCACUUAUGUGCAUCUGCAUCUGCAUAAGUUCAUAAAAACACACACAUGUAACUAAAAAUAAUCUUGAGAAUACAUUUCAGGAAGCAGUCUUCCAAUGGCCUCUGUAACAAUGAAGUACUUGGCCUAGAAUCUGUGCGACUGUGGAGCAUGGUGACUGGAGCCAGAGUGAUUCCAAGACAAAGCAGAACACCCGAGGACUCCAGGAUGCCUGCACCUCCCAACAUCUUCCUGUGCUCGAGAACCUCUCCAAAGCCUUGAUUGAUUCCGUGUAAGGUGCCUCCAUGCUGGUUCCUGACAGACACGGUGAACUGCACAUGUCGGGGAGUGGGACCUAUGUCUUGCAUGGGUGGCAUGUAGGCCACUUUCAUAUGAUUCACGGCAUGCUGGAAAGCAAAUUGAGAUGGAUAUAUGUGUUGAUUUGCAGAGACUGGAAUUGUUUAGCAACCUAGGUCUAAGACCACUGCAGUAUUAACUGAUACGGAGCAAGUAAGUAUUACCAUGAAUGAAAAACUUCCCAAGGCUCUAUUGUGUAAACCACAUUGCCUAAACAUAAGAGGAAAACGGAGGAAGUCAGGCAGCAUGUCAAAUGAUGGAGUCCAACCAAUUCUGCAAAAGGCAGACUUGGACUUUACCCAGUCCCUCCCUGCAGUCACUGUACUAACACAAAUUGUGUAAGCAUGCAAGGCUUCUGUUUCCUUAUUAGUAAAGUUAUUAAAACAGUAGCACUUUUCACAUUUACAACUUCUAACUAGUAAGAAAUCAGGCAUAAUUAGCCCCAAACCACAGAUGUCUGAUGCCUGAGGACUCAUAUACCAGACCCCCAUGGGGUCUUCAGAGGAGAGUUCACAAGAGUGAGCAGUGGGAUAUGGAAGGAUUUGGGAGAGAGGUAAAUAUUAUGGGAUGAGCUGCAACCCCCUAAAGUGGCAUACUAAAGUUCUAAUUCUUAAAACCUUACAAGGUGAAUUUAUUUAGAACUAGGGCCAUUACAGUUGUACACAGCAGAAACACUUGAGUAGCAUAGCUCUUCAAUCCAACAAAACUGGUCUCCUUGUAAUAGGAAGAGACAGAUUGGGACAGGUGUGACUGACAGAAGACAACAUUUGCAUCUGCAAGCCAGGGAAUAGCAAAGGCUGCUAACAAAGCACUAGAUGCUAACCUGCAGGGAAGGAGAGUCUGCAGGGUUCAGAAGAGCACAACAUGCCAACGUCUCCAUCUUAACACCUCUAGCUUGGGAAAGUAUAGGAAAACAGGCUUUUGUUUUGAACGACAAAAGGUGUUUUUGUUAUGGUAACCAUGAGAAACCAAAACAGUAGAAGAAUGAGUGGUCUACAGUUGGUGGAAUAAAAACACAGGCAUGGGGCCUGAAAUCAGUGCCCUGCCAUUGGCAAAAUGAUGACACCAAAGGCUAUGUGGAUUUAUAAUAAGGUUUGAAAUUACAUCCAGUUUGUUGAAGGCCUUUCAAGCAGCUUACCAGAAGUGUUCAAGUACAAGGAUAAAGACAUAAGACACUGUGGUAGAAGUGACUGGCUAACAUCUCAGACACAACACUGGGAAUGCCACACCCUCUCAAAGAUACAUUACAUAUGGUCAACAUUUUUACACAUUCUCAUACCUGGGUAAAUGACCUCAGCCCGGGAGCUGCAGGGUUUUUUAUUAGCUUUGGUAUGCUGUCCACCAAGAAUAAUUUUCCGGCAUCCAAGUGUCUAAGAGAAAUAUAGACCCCAUCAGCUUAUUUUCCAGCUAAGAAAAAGUAAAUCAAAUCACCCACAAAAAUGCUUGCACCCACAGGUCAUUCAUUGGGGAAACCUGGAAUGUUAAGCAUUUAGCAUUGUCCUCUCAAAGAAAAAGAAGUAUAACCUGUCUAUCUAGAAGGCUGGGAAUUGGAGAUGAUUAACAGCCUUGUGAUCUGUGUUAUCUGCAGGCUCCCACAACCAGGACCAGAGAUGGCUAAUAGUCCAAAUGAUCUCUAUGCUAUCUGUAUGACCAGGACCAUGCCAGGUCCUUCCCUGGGCCCUUAAGCUGAUACAGGCAGCCUGUCUUCAGAACCCAUUUCUUAGAAGAAAUGACAUGUACCCUGAGUUGAGUUUUGAAGUAAUUAUGUGGCUUUGGGCACCAGGGAUUGUAUUACACCAGGAAACUUUUCACCAAAUUGGACUGUGCUUAAAUAGGCUGGCUAUAAACCACUUGGCAUCAGACUCUCCAGAAGUUUGAUCUAGACUAAGUCAGGCUGAACUGAGUUUUCAUUCUCACCUCUUCAUGGUUCAUUUUCCUGCCUGCCAUGGCACUUGCAGGGACCACUGCACCACAAUCAGCUUUUUAAAAACAGUUCAUUGUGGGGAGAAAGCAGAUGCUCCAUCUUUGUAGUCUUAUUAUGUUGUAGCAUCAUCUAUGCUACCCUCAGCAUGACUGAACAAAGUUUUUUUUGCUGUGUCAUGUGAAAAGGAAUCAUUUGUCUCAUCUUGAGAGUUUUCUCGAUGUCAUGUAUAUGACACUAGCCUAAGGGAUAUUUAUGAAACUGUUUUGAAUUGCAUUGCGAUUAUAAAAUACGAAUACCAAGUGAUCUGCCAUAUCAAAAAAUAACACUUUGCAGACUUCAAUAAACAUCAUUAAAAAGAAAAAUAAGGUUUUACUUGAGAAAAAUGGGAUUUCAACCAUUCUGUUUAAGUCUCACUCUGCUGAAAACUACAAGCUGCAUGUCCCUUACUAGUUGUCAUUCAAUGAAGGAAAGAACAAAUUUGUGAUAAAAGUGAAUGCUGAAUUGGAUGUAGAGUUCAACUCUGACCAACGAAGCAAGUAACUCACACUGCCACACAGUGACACUCUAGGAACCAGUAGAACAUACAGUUCUUUACAAAGAAAGACACCUGUGGCUGAAGGAGAAACACGGAGGGCGUGUUAUUGUAUAGAUGAGCUCCCCAUCAUGUGAUUCCGUAUCCAGGAAAUGUAAAUGCUUUUUAGUGA